rnacentral:rRNA from 1 species
CCUACGGGAGGCAGCAGUGAGGAAUAUUGGUCAAUGGGCGAGAGCCUGAACCAGCCAAGUCGCGGGAAGGAUGACGGCCCUACGGGUUGUAAACUUCUUUUGUCAGGGAGAAAUGGAGUCCACGUGGGGUCUUAGCGAGAGUACCUGAAGAAAAAGAAUCGGCUAACUCCGUGCCAGCGGCCGCGGUAAUACGGAGGAUGCGAGCGUUAUCCGGAUUUUUUGGGUUUAAAGGGUGCGUAGGCGGAAUAUCAAGUCAGCGGGAAAAAUUCGGGGCUCAACCCCGUCGUGCCGUGGAAACUGAUGUUCUUGAGUGGGCGAGAAGUAUGCGGAAUGCGUGGUGUAGCGGUGAAAUGCAUAGAUAUCACGCAGAACUCCGAUUGCGAAGGCAGCAUACCGGCGCCCAACUGACGCUGAAGCACGAAAGCGUGGGUAUCGAACAGGAUUAGAUACCCGGGUAGUC